UUUAUGAUAAUUGUUCUUUAUACACAGCUUGACCUCAUUGUUUAAAUGUCCAGUUGUGUAAGUAACUAUAAUUUCUAAACAAAGUGUGUAACAGAACACUUGACCAAUUGUAUGGUACAACUGAUUUAUGUAUUUGCAUUACCUAUAGGAUAAAAUGUCAGUUACUUCAAACUAUGCUAACAUACAGUAUUGUUAAAAAUCAUAAUUGUUCAUACUGUUAAAUGUAUGGAUUGCUGUAUACUCACCCUAACAGUUAAUUUAACUUCUGUUAAUGUGAAAAAAAAAUAGACUUCAAAAUAGUGAAACCUGUAAUUUUGUGUUGCUUGUUGCUGUUGAAAUUAUAGAUGUAAUUGUAAUAUUUUGAAACAGUGCUGUUUAACGUCAAGGAUGAUCACAGUCUGUAAAUUAUUUUAAUCCUUAAAACGUGCUGUGUUCUUUUGUGCUGAGGGCUGAAUUCAAUUUUUUUUAGCAGUUUGAUGCAGGUGGGGCUUUUUAACUUAAGCAAUCUCUUCACUGGGUCCAAAGCCUGCAAGCAAAAUAUAAUAUAUGAAGAAAGCAAUAAAUUGAGGGUAACAUAGUCACCCUUUGAGGCCAGUUGGAGAUGGUAUGCAGACCUUUUGGAGAGCGUACAACAAGCCUUAUCUGAGCAGAUGGAACAUCACAGUUUGAAGGAGCAUCUAGUCAAAAUUAUAAGUAUCCUAAAGAACUCUCUCCACUAGUUUUGAUAAACUCAUUCAGUAAUGAUGUAACUCUUUUGUAGUGCAGGGAUUAACAACUUCCUCUAUACAGAAAGGUGAGAUGCUAGAUUUUAUUUUCCUGCAGCAGCUUUGGGGGGGGGGAGGGAAAUACCUUAUUUUUAAUAGGACUUAUUAAAAUGCUGUUCACAGUUUUCAUUAUUUCCAAUUAGAAAGAGCUUGCUUUUCCAAUAUCUGAGUUGGAGAGUAAUUAGUAUGUAAUUAAAAAAAAGUUUCAAAGAAGAAACUAACACAAAAUAUGAUGUGAUAGGUGUCCCUAUCACAAAGAUAUGAAGUGUUGAUUGUAUACUGUCAUCAAGUAAUAUUAUGGGUAUUAGUUGGAUAGAUUCUUUAUUCUUAUUUUUAGAAGUUGCAUUUUGUAUUCUUCAAUUUAUUAUUCUAUCAAAGAAUAUUACUUUGAAAUGCACCUAGCAAGUUGAGCAUGGAGCAUUGAGUCAGUAAGUGUAAAAGUAAGAUUCUUUUUAAGGAAGCAAAAAUAAAAUUCUCUUAAUGCU